AGAGUUUGAUCCUGGCUCAGGAUGAACGCUAGCGGCAGGCUUAACACAUGCAAGUCGAGGGGUAGAGGUUGCUUGCAACCUUGAGACCGGCGCACGGGUGCGUAACGCGUAUGCAACCUACCUUUUACAGAGGGAUAGCCCAGAGAAAUUUGGAUUAAUACCUCAUAGUAUAUAUCUUUCGCAUGUUAGGUAUAUUAAAGUUCCAACGGUAAAAGAUGGGCAUGCGUCCUAUUAGCUAGAUGGUAAGGUAACGGCUUACCAUGGCUACGAUAGGUAGGGGUCCUGAGAGGGAGAUCCCCCACACUGGUACUGAGACACGGACCAGACUCCUACGGGAGGCAGCAGUGAGGAAUAUUGGACAAUGGGCGCAAGCCUGAUCCAGCCAUGCCGCGUGCAGGAAGAAGCAUCUAUGGUGUGUAAACUGCUUUUGUACAGGAAGAAACAUCCCGACGUGUCGGGACUUGACGGUACUGUAAGAAUAAGGAUCGGCUAACUCCGUGCCAGCAGCCGCGGUAAUACGGAGGAUCCAAGCGUUAUCCGGAAUCAUUGGGUUUAAAGGGUCCGUAGGCGGUUUGGUAAGUCAGUGGUGAAAGCCCGCAGCUCAACUAUGGAACGGCCAUUGAUACUGCCAGACUUGAAUUACAAGGAAGUAACUAGAAUAUGUAGUGUAGCGGUGAAAUGCUUAGAUAUUACAUGGAAUACCAAUUGCGAAGGCAGGUUACUACUUGUGGAUUGACGCUGAUGGACGAAAGCGUGGGGAGCGAACAGGAUUAGAUACCCUGGUAGUCCAA
rnacentral:rRNA from 1 species